rnacentral:lncRNA from 1 species
CUCCUGAGGCCAUUGGGACCCAAGGAGAAGCGUCACUGCUACAGUCUCCCCUCCCCACUAAGGUGCCAGCAGCAUCUGCCAGCCUUGGUGAGACCGAGGACAGCCGGACCAUCCAUUCCCUGGAAAGCUGAUGGCCAGGGUCUCUGGAAUGGGAGGACCAGGAGGAGGGCAGUCCUGUCGUGACUUGGGGGCCUGGGUCGUGGGUGGGGUUACCUCCCCACCGGUUAGGUCACCCCCUGCCAGGAUGGGGUGGGGUCUUCCAGGACACAGUGUUACCCAAAAACUGCAUUCGCCUCUUGCCAAGGAGUCAAGUUCAAAGACAACCAAGGCCACGAGCAGAAGAAGGAAGGACUUACUACCAAUGGCAGGUAAGAACACUGGGGACCUUUCCCAAGGCAGUGUCUCCCUGGACAGCAAAAGCGGGGAAGUUUUACACUAAGGGUACGUGCAUGUUACAGCAGCUGCCCAGCAGCCCUGCGCCACAGUGUAUCAGCUCUAGUGACAGCCCUGUGGCAGUAGUGUACCAGCUCCAGCAGCUCUGUGCCUGCAGUGUACCAGUUCUGUCACCCGGCGAGAAACCAAGCCAGCCCUCGGAGAGUUGGAGAACUCAGGUUUAUUACGCAGGCAGGCUCAGAGGAGAUCGCGCUCCAGAGUCUGAGCCCCAAAGAAGGGUUUCCCAAGGCUUCUAUGGGCUACCUCUGCUGGGUCCGUGCUUGGCUGGUCAGACCGGAGUGGGGUCAGGCAAGGGAAUAGAUGCGGAAACAAAUUUACAGAAGCGGAUGUGUGGGGAGGGGUGGUGGGGCCGUUGGCUGGACUUUGCUUAGUCAUCAUGGCCGGGGUCUCCUUUCUACCUUUUUAUGGGGACAAUUUCUCCUACAGCAUAUUCAGGAAGAGGCUUGAGCAGAGAAUUCAGCGUGGAAUUGGGGCAAAUGUUGACAGAGUCCAGGCUGUGGUUGACUGAAGUCGAAAGGUCAACCUCAUCAUUCCGUCCUCCGUCUGGGUGGGGGCCUCGAUUCCUGCAGAACUGAGACAGGUGUCAGACUGGUAUGAACAGUCUUCAAGGAGGAGCUUGGACUGUCUGUGCUACUACUGCACUACGGUUUGGUGGCCUUUUCUCAGUCCCUGCGUUCCUUCACUUUCCUUAAGCUCUUUUUUUUUUUUUUUUAAUUUAAUUUAAUUUAAUUUAAUUUAAUUUUUUGUAUUUUUCUAGAAACGCAUCUGCGGCACACGGAGAUUCCCAGGCUAGGGGUCUAAUCAGAGCUGUAGCCACCAGCCUACACCACAGCCACAGCAAUACCAGAUCCGAGCCACAUCCGCAACCUACACCACAGCUCACGGCAACGCCGGAUCCUCAACCCACUGAGCAAGGCCAAUGAUCGAACCCACGACCUCAUGGUUUCUAGUCAGAUUCAUUAACUACUGGGCCAUGAUGGGAACUCCCACUUUCCUUCAGCUCUUUAAUUACUGAGACCGAUUCAAGAGCAGUGUCAUGGCCAGGCUGAGAUCAAAUGGCUUCUUUCUCUCUCUCUUUUUCUUUUUAGGGCUGCACCCCCAGGACAUGGAAGUUCCCGGGCCAAGGGUCCAGUCAGAACUCCAUCUGCCACAGCAACACCAGAUCCAAGCCACAUCUGUGAUCUACAUUGCGGUUUGAGGCAACACCAAAUCCUUAACCCACUGAGCGAGGCCAGAGAUCGAACCGGCAUCUUCAUGGUUGCCAGUUGGAUUCUUAACCCGCCGAGCCACAACAGGAACCCCUCAAGUGGCUUCUCUUAUGUCAAGAAAGCCAUGCCUGGUUCUCUUUCUCUGCUCUCCCCUCCCCAUUUCAUCUGCCUAUAGCAGCAUUUACAGCAUGUAAAGACCCCCACACCCAAGGUGGGCCUGGCUGUCCCAGCCCCAUCUCACAAAGGCUAACCAGCCCAGCAGCUUUUUAGCAGUGGGGACAGAAUGGAGCCUAGGAUCUGGGCCGGGCCAGGGCUUGGCACUGCAGUGUCCCUGCUGCCCACAGGCCUGGAAGGAGUUGGACACACCCUCCCCCACAGUUUUCUCCAGCCCCUGAGCCCCUUGAGGGCACUGAUUCCUUCCAACCCCCACCCACUAUCCAGAACAGGAGAAGCCAAAGCUAGUCACACUUACUGACACACCCUGUUCCCAGCCAAGGAGAGACACAUGUGAGUAAUGACCAGGCUGGCUGUGCAAACAGCCCAGGAGCCUCGGGAGGGAAAGUGGACCGGGAUGCAGGAGGGCUGAUUCUGCACCUGGCCCAGGCUUCUCUCCAUUUCCUCGUGUGGUUUCAGGGUUCUGGUCACACCUCAAUUACUUCAGGACUUGGUCACGGGGAAGGAGGGGGGGGACCUGGGCUGGGCUUCCCCAGCCACAGCCCACCACUCCGGUGCUGCAGCCAGGCUCUCCUAACCCUCCGCCAAGAAAUGUGGGUUGUGAACUGCUCUUCUCCAGGCCUGUUUCCUCUUUAGCUAAAUAGGGAUAACCCCCCCGCUACUUUUCAGGGGUCUCUUAGUGUCCUAGGGCCACCUGACAAGUGCCACAAACAGAGGUGGCCUAGGGCAGGAAUCUAUGAUCUCAGAGCCCUGGAGGCUAGAAGCCCGACAUCAGGGCGUUGGCAAGAUGCGGCUUCCUCUGAAGGCUCUAGGGGACCUGCGCCUGACCUCCCCAGCUUCUGCUGGCCCCAAGGGGUCCCCUGACUUACAGCAGCCUCCCUCUCACCUCUGCCCACACCUUCCCCCACCGGCCUGCCCGCCCCUGCCCUGGUGUCUUCUCUCCCAUGUCUCUGGGCCUUCACCUGGCAUCUCUUGGUCUCUCUCCUCUUCUGGUAGAGACACCAGUCAGACUGGAUCGGAGGUCUGUCUUGUCUUAACAAAUUCCAUCUAAGGUGAUCCUGUGUCCAUGGAAGUUCCUGUGCUGAGGUCCUGGGGGUUAGGACAUUAACAUAGCUCUUUGGGGGACACGAUUCCUUUCACCCCAUAAAGAGGGGUGUUGGGAACAGAGAAUCAUACUCAGUAUUUUGUAAUAACCCAUCAGGGAAAAUAAUCCAAAAAAAAAGUAGAUAUGUGUAUGCACAACUGAAUCACUUUGCCGUACACCUGAAACUAACAUGGCUUUGUAAACUAACUAUACUUCAAUUUAAAAAGUUAAAAAAAAGGAGUUCCCGUCGUGGCGCAGUGGUUAACGAAUCCGACUAGGAACCAUGAGGUUGCGGGUUCGGUCCCUGCCCUUGCUCAGUGGGUUAACGAUCCGGCGUUGCCGUGAGCUGUGGUGUAGGUUGCAGAUGCGGCUCGGAUCCCGCGUUGCUGUGGCUCUGGCGCAGGCCGGUGGCUACAGCUCCGAUUCGACCCCUAGCCUGGGAACCUCCAUGUGCCGCAGGAGCAGCCCAAAGAAAUAGCAAAAAG